rnacentral:rRNA from 1 species
UUUUAUUUGAGAGUUUGAUCCUGGCUCAGGAUGAACGCUGGCGGCGUGCCUAACACAUGCAAGUUGAGCGAUUUACUUCGGUAAAGAGCGGCGGACGGGUGAGUAACGCGUGGGUAACCUACCCUGUACACACGGAUAACAUACCGAAAGGUAUGCUAAUACGGGAUAAUAUAUUUGAGAGGCAUCUCUUAAAUAUCAAAGGUGAGCCAGUACAGGAUGGACCCGCGUCUGAUUAGCUAGUUGGUAAGGUAACGGCUUACCAAGGCGACGAUCAGUAGCCGACCUGAGAGGGUGAUCGGCCACAUUGGAACUGAGACACGGUCCAAACUCCUACGGGAGGCAGCAGUGGGGAAUAUUGCACAAUGGGCGAAAGCCUGAUGCAGCAACGCCGCGUGAGUGAUGAAGGCCUUCGGG